rnacentral:rRNA from 1 species
GACGAACGCUGGCGGCGUGCUUAACACAUGCAAGUCGAACGGAAAGGCCCUGCUUUUGUGGGGUGCUCGAGUGGCGAACGGGUGAGUAACACGUGAGUAACCUGCCCUUGACUUUGGGAUAACUUCAGGAAACUGGGGCUAAUACCGGAUAGGAGCUCCUGCUGCAUGGUGGGGGUUGGAAAGUUUCGGCGGUUGGGGAUGGACUCGCGGCUUAUGAGCUUGUUGGUGGGGUAGUGGCUUACCAAGGGUUUGACGGGUAGGCGGCCUGAGAGGGUGACCGGCCACAUUGGGCCUGAGAUACGGCCCAGACUGCUACGGGAGGCAGCAGUGGGGAAUAUUGCACAACGGGCGGAAGCCUGAUGCAGCAACGCCGCGUGCGGGAUGACGGCCUUCGGGUUGUAAACCGCUUUCGCCUGUGACGAAGCGUGAGUGACGGUAAUGGGUAAAGAAGCACCGGCUAACUACGUG